rnacentral:lncRNA from 1 species
UUUUUUUUCCCUUUCCAAUUUUUCGUUUUGCAGUUACUUAUCACAGCGUUCGGAGAACUCAUUUAUUUUGCAAGCCGCUCUCUCAAAUCAUUAGUGUCUUAGAUCCGUUUUCUUCUGAAUAUUACCGAUGACUAGUGUUAUUUGUCAAAUAUGUUAUCCGGAUGACCAAUGGUGUAGAGAACCGUUUAACAUCAGUGAAGAUUUAUAUGUGACGUUUAGUAAUACAAAAUACGAACACAAAAUCAGUUUGCCCCCAAGUCAGUGAUUUGGACGAAAAUCCCCCCGUCACAGCAGAUCAAACUCAAUCAAUUUAAAAAAAAUUAAGAAAUGAAAAGGUAAAAUUACCAUGACCAUUUAUCUGUGUCAUUGACUUUACCAAGUUUGCCCUUUUAAUCCGUUUGAGAAGUGAAUGUAAAUACAUUUUUUUAACAACUUUAUUUCAUGACAACUUUUUCAUACUCAUUGUUUACCUUUUCUUUUUGAGUUGUCUUAUUUCAACAAUCAUUUGGGUGAUAAUUUUUGAGACAACCAUAAAUUUAUAUAGAAAAUAUGUAUUGACAUGGAAACUAAAGCAAUAAAGAAAGAAAAUGAUAACACAUAUUGUGAGUAUCAGAGAGAAAGUUGUCAUAAAUAUAUUUCUCUUUCGUUUUAUUGUUUUGAUUUUAAUUGGAAUAUCUAAACCUCAUUUUAUUUAGGUUAAAAUAUGUUUUUUUGGUCAAUGCAAAUAUGAGUUUAGGUUUUGAUCCUUCUUAAAAAAAAAUUUGUUUUUUAAAAAAUCCUUGGACCCACUUUGUUGCUGAUUUGGUUCAUUUUUGCUUAUGCGGCAGUUGCCGACUCAUCCAGAUGGAAAUUACAUGACAAUUCUAUUUUUUUUAAAACAUUUAUUAAUUAAUUAACAAUAAUUAAAUUGUUUUUCAAAAUUAAGAAAACAUUUAGUUUAAUUAAAUAAAUAGAAUUAGAAAAGGAAGAAAUUUUUUAGGGUUUCAAUUUCCCCCUUUUUUCGUAUGUCCCAAUCCCUCCAUCAUUCUUCAAUUCAUCUUAUUCAUUUGACCUCCAUCCUUCUUCAUCUUCAUGUUCAAUUCAUUUUGUUUCCUCUCUCCAAUAAUCUUCAUCUUCAAGAGAGAUUCAAUUAGCAUCAAAUCCAGUCCAGAAAUUUGGGAAACCCGGUACCCUAUUCUCUCUUCCGUAGCCAACACAACAACAAUUUGUUUGCUUGAAAUUGCUUGGAGUUAGAAGUGAAGGAUGAGAUGCGGGUGGAGUUGUUGAAGAAGAGGAGGAGGCCGUGAAGAGGAGGAGAGGGACGAUGGAGGAGGAGGUGAAGGAGGUGCCGAUUGUUGUGUUGUUAGGGAUCUGUGAAAGAAAUGGAGGAGAGACAUAAUGCAGCAAUUAUUGUGUUGUUGUUAUGGUUUGGAUUUUUUAAGAGAUUAGUUGGGUUGGUGUAAAUAAUCAUAGAACUUGAUCAACAAAGGUGAAAGAUUAGGAUGCUUGUUCUUGUUGAUCAACAAACAUGUUGGUAAAGAAAACAUGAUUUAUUGAUUUCCCAAAUCGCUAAAAAAAAACUAAGAUUACACUCAAAUUUAUUUAAAAUUUUACAAUAAUACCAAAAUUGCUCUCUUCAUGUAAAAUUUUAAAAACCCAUCUUUUAUGAUCAUUCUGAACCCUUACCCCCUUUCAUCCACAAAUCACGCAACCAAUAUAAUGUAAAUUUAGUUUACUUAUGUCAAUGUAAUUUAAGUUUACUUAUUAUGUUCAAUCUAGGCUAAUGUAAAUUUAGUUUACUUUACGUUCAAUCUAGGUUAGUGUAAAUUUAAUUUACUUACGUUCAAUCUAGAUAUAAAAGGUUAUUGUAAAUUCAGUUUACUCAAUCUAGGUUAAUGUAAAUUAAGUUUACUUAUGUUCAGUUAAUGUAAAUUCAGUUUACUUAUUCAAUUUAGGUUAAUGUAAAUUCAGUUUACUUUAGUUUACUUAUGUUCAAUGUAAAUUAAGUUUUGUUCAAUUUAGGUUAAUGUAAAUUCAGUUUACUUAUGUUCAACUUAGGGGUAUAUUUGUCAUUCUGGGGUGUAAUUUAUUUUUUUUGGGGUGUGACUAGCACCAGUCAAAAACUAAUUGAUUUCACAUAGUUUUUUUAUUUAAUUAAAAUCAAAUGUUUUUUUAUAUAGUAAAAAAUAUAAAAUUGCCACCUAGAUGCCAUGUAUACAAGUUUGUACGGUCAGCACUUGCAACAAAAGCAAAAAUGAGUCAAAUCAACAAGAAAGUGGGUCUAGGACUUUUUUAAAAAACAAAAAAAUUUGCAAGGAUGAAAUUCAAAUUUUUUUUUUACCAGGGACCAAAUCCCAAACAUGCUAUAUUUGCAGGGAUCAAAAACAGAUUUUAGCCUUUUAAUAACUACAUUUUUUUGUCAAGAUUCAUCAAAUGCAUAUCUCUAUUUUUAUUUUUGUGAAGAAGCAAUUAAGUAUCAUCAUAUAAAUAAUUACCAACAUCAUCGUUAUAAAAUAAAUAUCAUCGUUUCUCAUUGUUUAAUCUUAAAAUAGACACCGUAUUUUUCUCUUCAUAUGUACUUUAAAUAUAAAAUAUAAGUGAAUGUCAUUACCCCACCGACUUUCUUUUUACAAUCAUAAAGUCUUUGUUCAUUUUAACUUAGAUCAUUAUCUCUCUAAUGGUUCAUUAUCUUGUCUCAUCGCUAAUAUUAUCCCUACAUUAUUCUUCAAAACAACCUCGACUAAAGCUCAAAUAACAAAAAGAGAGAAAUCCGAAUAAAGGGAAUGAAACACCUCCACCAUAAAACUAAUGUUAGAUAAAUCGGUCAAUUGAUUGACCAAGGAUAGCUACCGGGCAACAAAUGCAAGAAACGUCGUCAUCCAUGAAGCCCGGACAAGCAUUUUGAGAUACUACCAAAAUACCAAGAUAACAUAAAUCAUGGCCAAUUCCAAAUACUAUGCAAUUCAGCUGACUAAUUCUUAAAAGACAAACGGCAAGCACUCCCAAACAACUUCUCCGAGACAAAAAUGUCGGCAACCAUUGGGAAGUGGGAACUUGAGGCUCAACCCGAAAAUGAGAAUGACCAGCUGCAAAAAAAACUACAAAAGAUUCUACCACCAAGAUUCUACAAAAAGAUUAGACCAGCUGCAUAUAGUAUUAAAUCAGGUUAGAAUUGUAGAGAACAAAAUACUAAAAUUGGUGGACAAUGGACUAAAUUGGGGACAAAGGCUAACUAAUCUCGUCUAAGUUUUCCAUUGGAAUCAUAUGGUAUUGUUGGGACACGUCACAUUUUUUUACAUGCUCAAUGCAUUCAUAAAUGUCUUCGUUAAGGGUCUUCAUGGCCAAGGCCUUUUCUCCGAGAUAUUGUUUGGACAUUCCUUGGUGAAUUCUAUUGAGUUGCAUUCUUCUUUGUCAAGACACUGAGUAAGGGGUUUGAAAAACGUACUAUUGUCCCUCUAUCAUGGAGUACGAGCAAGCUUGUCGCCAGAACUUUCAAAGUCUUUUAUUUUCUUUGGGAAGCUCUCCUGAUUGUUGAAACCAUCCAACCAUUACUCUAGGGAGGAUCUCCAUCUCAUGUCAUUGCUAUCUAACAAGUCCCAUCAGAUUCUAUUAUGACCCAUCAUACACACCAAAUCUUGUUUUUUUGCCGCUGCCACCACCACCAUCAUUGUAGGUGCUUUGAAGAUGCAAGGUGGUCCAAAUAAAUAACAUCAUAACGUCAAAAAUCAUUGGUUAAUCCAUAAAAUAUAACUAUAGAAUUAAAAAAUAAAAACUUGAUUACUUUCGGUUGCUGUCAAAAAUAAAUUUCCUAAUAAUUGGGGAGAAAAAAAAAAAAGAAGGUAUUCGCAACCAAAAUUGAAAGGUAUUUUCUGGGGUAUAUAUAUAAUGCUGUUGUCGCUUGUUAUGAUGUUGGGCGUAGGCAUUUGAAACUUGUGCAAGAGGUUUUGGAUGAGGUUGUUAAUUUGGGAAAAGUAAUAUACAAAGACAACAGAUUCACCAAAUAGGAAACUAGUAGAGAAAAUGAAUGCAUAUUAGAUAGUGAAGGUUCUUGUUGUGUAGGGGAGAAAACAGGGAGAUUAUUGUUGGUCGAUUUGCGGAGGAUAAAAACCAGCAUUGCAGAGAGGAAAGAUUAAUUAAUUUUUUUACAAAUAUUUUUUUAGAGUAAGUGGAUGGUGCCUCGGUUUAAAAGAUAGAAGACCUCAAUAUUUAUAUUUAUCUCUCACGACUCGGACCAUAACCUCCGGAUAAAAAACCCAUCCUUUUACCUUUAAACCCUUGGAGUUGGAGAGUGGCAGAUUCAAUUUUUUUCUUGUGAUGGGGGCAACCAAAUAAUCUAUAAUAUAUUCUCAUAAAAGAAGCAUUUUAAGUUUUUAAAAAUAUUUGCUAAAAAAAAAAAGAGUUAAAAUAGAUAAAGAUGGUACCGUGUGCUUAGUGUUAAAACUUAAACGAGUGAUACAAACUAGAAUGAAAGAUGAUUAGAAUAUUUUGAUCUUCUUUCAUUCUAGCACCAAUAUACCAAUUUAUUCUUAUUUUCUUUCUAAUAACUUCAUACUUUUAUUUUUAAAAAAUAUAAGGUUUUUUUCUUUUUUCUUGCGGGGCUAGAGCCCUAUUUCGCAACACACAGACCCACUCCCAGGAGAAAGUUUGUUGAAAGUAGCACCAACUUAAACGAUAUAUAAAGGAAUGUAAGUAGUACAAAUGACACAAAAGGAUGUGGUGAACUAUCCUCAAAACUUCUCUAAAAGAACACACUAAUUGCAAACUUCACCUUAGAUGCUGCCACAUAGUAACUGUCCAGGAAAUAACUGCAGAAGUAGCGCUGCUGAGCUUUUUAUCAGCUUUCAUUGGAUACAAAAAAAACAAAGCAGUCACCAUUAUUCAAUCCACGUCUGAGUUAAAUUAGUAUAUUGGGCAUCCAACAUUGAACCAGGAAACAAAAUACAAAAAAAAAAGUUACAAAGCAGAACAUCAAUAAAAAUCCUACUCAUCCUGCACUAAUUUUCAGUGAAAAAAGAUUAAAUACUAGGUCAUUAUACUUCUCUUUAUCAUAGAUAUUCCAUGGGAGGAAGCACUAGCUUUCUAAAUUGCACCCAUUAUUUCAAUUCCUAUUUCCUUGAGCAUGAAAAUAUCAGUGGGUUGUGCUUCAAACUGGAAAUAUCAAACAAUUCGAUGAACCUCUGGUCCGACACUCUGGCUUUGGCACCUGCAAACCUUUGAUACUCAUCAAAAAUAGAUGAUAGACACCAUCUCUGCAAUCUUCGUAUGCAUCCCACAAGACAACCAGUGCGGUGCUGUUCAUAGUAAAAUCAACAAACUAUUAGAGAUUAAUGAUUCAAAAGUACUAAUAAAAACAAAGAUUCAAAGAACAAAGUGCACACCUUUCCUCGUUUACAAUGAAUCAGCACGGGGUGGUUCCUAACAUCUUGAGAAAGAAAAAGAAAAAAGACACCAAUUUGGUUAAUAUGUCAUGAACAAAAUGUGCUAUUAAGGUAGUGAAGUUCAAGAUUUUGUAAUACCGAGCACUACUUUCAAAGCUUCACGAAUCUUAUCAUUUGGGAUGUUGACAAAGGGUUCCUGCCCACAUUAUGUGCAGUCAGUGUGCAGAACUAUGAUUUUUCAGAUAUCAGUUAAAAUAUCAUAUUAUAUGUUGUUUGCUUCUCCUCCCUUGCCUGGCAAUCCAGGCGGAAGAAGGCAAUCUUUGGGGAUGGGGUUUGCUAUCGUUCAAGUUGAGGGAGUUCACAGGACAUAAAGAAUAUAAGCCAGUAAAAAAAUCACCGAUGAUUGCAAUUAAGAGCAAAUUCAGCAUAGGAGACACCAUUAUACAUUUGCUAAAGAUUGGUCUACUAGCACUUACAAAAGACAGCUUUUCACCUGCUGUUAAUUGCUUGUGGUGGGAAUGGUAUAAGCUAAGGUAGACAGCUUCUCAUCUGCUGUCAAUUGCUUGUAGUGGGAAUGGUAUAAGCUAAGGCAGACAGCUUUUAAAUUCAUUUACACCAUAGCAACUUAAGGCUAUAUAUAUAUGUCCAGCCAGCCCUGUAUUGUCCCUUAAAGCUUCCGUGUUUGGGUUUUGUAGAAGGUCUAUUAUACAUAUAGUAUGGACGUUACUGUUAGUAUGUAGGUAAAGAGGGUUAUUAGUAUGUACUGAACAUCUUAGAUAGGGCAAAACUUUGCCAAAGGCAGUGAACAAUAUGUAACUUAUUAUAAAAUAGCUCUACGGAAAAGGAUAGAGAACACGAGAGUGUAGAUCACAUAACCAAUAUUAAAGCCGGAUGAUUUUUCCAAAGUUUUUUUUUUUUUUGUUUGUAAAAGUGUAAAUGAACUACCCCAUGAAUCCAAAUAACCAAAGCAAACUUUACUAACUAAAAAUAUUUUCUUCAGUUCAAGAGAAGGUCAUUAUCAAUUAGUCUAGUUUGAUGUUUUCAAAUCAAAGAGUUCACAUUCAAAAUGGUAUAGCACCCUUGAAACUGAAGAAACACCAGCCCUAAUAAUCUGUUAGACUGUAACAGCAAGCAAUAAUUCUCUAGGAGCAUUGUGCAACAUUUCAAAUUAUGUUAUACCUAAGAUAUCAAAUGUUAUUCUAUUUAAAAAGCAAGAUAAGUUCAACUUUCACAAACAGUUUCAAUUGAAUUGAAUAACCAAAGAUGUACGUCAAUCUAAAUAAAUGCUACUGUUUAUCACAUGAUAACUUUAAGUCCUUCCGACAUUACAUGCAUAAGACAUGUUUGAAUUGAUUUAUUUGAACUUAUCUACGGGGACAGACGCACUUGCGCGACUGUUUCAGAGAUCUUAAAUACAUAACUUAUGACAUGUCUAUAAGUUGUUUUUAGCUUAUUUCCAUAAACUUUUCAGCAUAGCUUAUGAAAACAGUUUGUGUAACUUUACAUGAAAAGUUGAAAACAGUUUGAAUUUAUUUGAUCUUUUGAAAUAGAAAUAGUAUAUAUACAUAAUCACUUAUACUCUAUUUAACUGGUAGGUGGACAACAUGAAAUUAUGAUACAAACCUUGCAGCCAUCGAUACCGAAUUGAUAAAGCCUAAUUCCGUUAGCAUUCAAAAAUUCCGCAGUUGCUUCUGGAUAGGGUUCAGGGCACAAACAUCUGCACAAAAACGAACAUGAACACAUAUCUUCCACCAAACAAAAUACAAUAUAGAAAAGGGAAAUUGAAUUCUCACAUUACAGAACGAAGACGAAGCGAUUUCAUGAAUCCGAAGUUGGCAGAAUCAGGAAAACCGGACCUGAAAAUACCGUUGUCAACCAUAGCGAAGUUCAGCGGCGGCACAAAUGCUUCAUCGGCGUCGUCGGAGUUACGCGGCGGUGAAACGUCGGCGGCGGCGGGUAAGGACACCUGGCCGUUGGAAUUGGAGUUAGAGUUGUCGAGUUUCAUGAUGAAUUUGGCGCCAAAAAUGAGAAGAGUGAAAGAUGAAAGCGUUAGGGCGAAGAGUGAUUCAUGGGAUCUUCGGUUUGAAGGAUCUGUAAUAGUUAUAGAAGAAGGAACAGUGAGAGAGAAAAAGGUUUGAAGGAUCU